GGGUUGUGAGGUUAAGCGACUAAGCGUACACGGUGGAUGCCCUGGCAGUCAGAGGCGAUGAAGGACGUGCUAAUCUGCGAUAAGCGCCGGUAAGGUGAUAUGAACCGUUAUAACCGGCGAUUUCCGAAUGGGGAAACCCAGUGUGACUCGUCACACUAUCAUUAACUGAAUCCAUAGGUUAAUGAGGCGAACCGGGGGAACUGAAACAUCUAAGUACCCCGAGGAAAAGAAAUCAACCGAGAUUCCCCCAGUAGCGGCGAGCGAACGGGGAGGAGCCCAGAGCCUGAAUCAGCAUGUGUGUUAGUGGAAGCGUCUGGAAAGGCGCGCGAUACAGGGUGACAGCCCCGUACACAAAAGCGCAUGUGCUGUGAGCUCGAUGAGUAGGGCGGGACACGUGGUAUCCUGUCUGAAUAUGGGGGGACCAUCCUCCAAGGCUAAAUACUCCUGACUGACCGAUAGUGAACCAGUACCGUGAGGGAAAGGCGAAAAGAACCCCGGCGAGGGGAGUGAAAAAGAACCUGAAACCGUGUACGUACAAGCAGUGGGAGCACCCUUCGGGGUGUGACUGCGUACCUUUUGUAUAAUGGGUCAGCGACUUAUAUUCUGUAGCAAGGUUAACCGUAUAGGGGAGCCGCGGGGAAACCGAGUCUUAACCGGGCGUUAAGUUGCAGGGUAUAGACCCGAAACCCGGUGAUCUAGCCAUGGGCAGGUUGAAGGUUGGGUAACACUAACUGGAGGACCGAACCGACUAAUGUUGAAAAAUUAGCGGAUGACCUGUGGCUGGGGGUGAAAGGCCAAUCAAACCGGGAGAUAGCUGGUUCUCCCCGAAAGCUAUUUAGGUAGCGCCUCGUGAAUUCAUCUCCGGGGGUAGAGCACUGUUUCGGCUAGGGGGCCAUCCCGGCUUACCAACCCGAUGCAAACUGCGAAUACCGGAGAAUGUUAUCACGGGAGACACACGGCGGGUGCUAACGUCCGUCGUGAAGAGGGAAACAACCCAGACCGCCAGCUAAGGUCCCAAAGUCAUGGUUAAGUGGGAAACGAUGUGGGAAGGCCCAGACAGCCAGGAUGUUGGCUUAGAAGCAGCCAUCAUUUAAAGAAAGCGUAAUAGCUCACUGGUCGAGUCGGCCUGCGCGGAAGAUGUAACGGGGCUAAACCAUGCACCGAAGCUGCGGCAGCGACGCUUAUGCGUUGUUGGGUAGGGGAGCGUUCUGUAAGCCUGCGAAGGUGGCCUGUGAGGGUUGCUGGAGGUAUCAGAAGUGCGAAUGCUGACAUAAGUAACGAUAAAGCGGGUGAAAAGCCCGCUCGCCGGAAGACCAAGGGUUCCUGUCCAACGUUAAUCGGGGCAGGGUGAGUCGACCCCUAAGGCGAGGCCGAAAGGCGUAGUCGAUGGGAAACGGGUUAAUAUUCCCGUACUUGGUGUUACUGCGAAGGGGGGACGGAGAAGGCUAUGUUGGCCGGGCGACGGUUGUCCCGGUUUAAGCGUGUAGGUGUGUGUUCCAGGUAAAUCCGGUUCACUUUAACACUGAGGCGUGACGACGAGGCACUACGGUGCUGAAGCAACAAAUGCCCUGCUUCCGGAAAAGCCUCUAAGCAUCAGGUAACAUCAAAUCGUACCCCAAACCGACACAGGUGGUCAGGUAGAGAAUACCAAGGCGCUUGAGAGAACUCGGGUGAAGGAACUAGGCAAAAUGGUGCCGUAACUUCGGGAGAAGGCACGCUGACACGUAGGUGAAGUGAUUUACUCAUGGAGCUGAAGUCAGUCGAAGAUACCAGCUGGCUGCAACUGUUUAUUAAAAACACAGCACUGUGCAAACACGAAAGUGGACGUAUACGGUGUGACGCCUGCCCGGUGCCGGAAGGUUAAUUGAUGGGGUCAGCGCAAGCGAAGCUCCUGAUCGAAGCCCCGGUAAACGGCGGCCGUAACUAUAACGGUCCUAAGGUAGCGAAAUUCCUUGUCGGGUAAGUUCCGACCUGCACGAAUGGCGUAAUGAUGGCCAGGCUGUCUCCACCCGAGACUCAGUGAAAUUGAACUCGCUGUGAAGAUGCAGUGUACCCGCGGCAAGACGGAAAGACCCCGUGAACCUUUACUAUAGCUUGACACUGAACAUUGAGCCUUGAUGUGUAGGAUAGGUGGGAGGCUUUGAAGCGUGGACGCCAGUCUGCGUGGAGCCGACCUUGAAAUACCACCCUUUAAUGUUUGAUGUUCUAACGUGGACCCGUGAUCCGGGUUGCGGACAGUGUCUGGUGGGUAGUUUGACUGGGGCGGUCUCCUCCUAAAGAGUAACGGAGGAGCACGAAGGUUGGCUAAUCCUGGUCGGACAUCAGGAGGUUAGUGCAAUGGCAUAAGCCAGCUUGACUGCGAGCGUGACGGCGCGAGCAGGUGCGAAAGCAGGUCAUAGUGAUCCGGUGGUUCUGAAUGGAAGGGCCAUCGCUCAACGGAUAAAAGGUACUCCGGGGAUAACAGGCUGAUACCGCCCAAGAGUUCAUAUCGACGGCGGUGUUUGGCACCUCGAUGUCGGCUCAUCACAUCCCGGGCUGAAGUAGGUCCCAAGGGUAUGGCUGUUCGCCAUUUAAAGUGGUACGCGAGCUGGGUUUAGAACGUCGUGAGACAGUUCGGUCCCUAUCUGCCGUGGGCGCUGGAGAACUGAGGGGCUGCUCCUAGUACGAGAGGACCGGAGUGGACGCAUCACUGGUGUUCGGGUUGUCAUGCCAAUGGCACUGCCCGGUAGCUAAAUGCGGAAGAGAUAAGUGCUGAAAGCAUCUAAGCACGAAACUUGCCCCGAGAUGAGUUCUCCCUGAGACUUUAGGUCUCCUGAAGGAACGUUGAAGACGACGACGUUGAUAGGCCGGGUGUGUAAGCGCAGCGAUGCGUUGAGCUAACCGGUACUAAUGAACCGUGAGGCUUAACCUUACAACGCCGAAG
rnacentral:rRNA from 1 species